AUGUCUAUUCUCAAGAUCCACGCCAGAGAGAUUUUUGACUCUCGUGGGAAUCCCACCGUUGAAGUUGACCUCUACACCUCCAAAGGUCUCUUCAGAGCUGCUGUGCCCAGUGGUGCCUCAACUGGUAUCUACGAGGCCCUCGAGCUCCGGGACAAUGACAAGACCCACUACAUGGGGAAAGGUGUCUCAAAGGCUGUUGAGCACAUCAAUAAAACUAUUGCACCUGCCCUGAUUAGCAAGAAACUGAACGUCGUGGAGCAGGAGAAGAUUGAUAGACUGAUGAUCGAGAUGGAUGGGACAGAAAAUAAAUCUAAAUUUGGUGCAAACGCCAUCCUGGGUGUGUCCCUGGCUGUCUGCAAGGCGGGGGCCGUGGAAAAGGGGGUGCCCCUGUACCAGCACAUUGCUGACUUGGCUGGCAAUACUGAAGUCAUCCUGCCGGUUCCGGCUUUCAACGUCAUCAACGGUGGUUCUCAUGCUGGCAACAAGCUGGCCAUGCAGGAGUUCAUGAUCCUGCCCGUUGGUGCGGCCAACUUCAGGGAAGCCAUGCGCAUCGGAGCCGAGGUUUACCACAACCUGAAGAAUGUCAUCAAGAAGAAAUACGGAAAAGAUGCCACCAAUGUGGGGGAUGAAGGCGGCUUUGCGCCUAACAUCCUGGAGAACAAAGAAGCUCUGGAGCUGCUAAAGAACGCCAUUGGGAAAGCCGGCUACACCGACAAGGUGGUCAUCGGCAUGGACGUAGCUGCUUCUGAGUUCUUCAGGUCGGGCAAGUAUGACCUGGACUUCAAGUCCCCCAAUGACCCGAGCAGGUACAUCACGCCUGAUGAGCUGGCCAACCUGUACAAGUCCUUCAUCAAGGACUACCCAGUGGUGUCUAUCGAGGACCCCUUUACCAGGAUGACUGGGAAGCUUGGCAGAAGUUCACUGCCACUGCCGGCAUCCAGGUGGUGGGGGAUGAUCUCACUGUGACCAACCCGAAACGGAUCUCCAAGGCCAUGGGCGAGAAAUCGUGCAACUGCCUCCUGCAGAAAGUGAACCAGAUCGGCUUCGUGACCGAGUCUCUCCAGGCAUGCAAGCUGGCCCAGUCCAAUGGCUGGGGCGUCAUGGUGUCGCAUCGCUCUGGGGAGACUGAAGAUACCUUCAUCGCUGACCUGGUGGUGGGACUUUGCACUGGGCAUAUCAAGACAGGGGCACCUUGCCGAUCUGAGCGCUUGGCCAAGUACAACCAGAUCCUCAGAAUUGAAGAGGAACGGGGUAGCAAGGCUAAGUUCGCCGGCAGAAACUUCAGAAACCCCCUGGCCAAGUAA